AACGAACGCUGGCGGCAUGCCUAACACAUGCAAGUCGAACGAAUGGUUUCGGCCAUUAGUGGCGCACGGGUGAGUAACGCGUGGGAAUCUGCCCAGCAGUGGGGGAUAACCUCUGGAAACGGAGGCUAAUACCGCAUACGCCCCUCGGGGGAAAGGGCUUGCUGCUGCUGGAGGAGCCCGCGUCGGAUUAGGUAGUUGGUGGGGUAACGGCCUACCAAGCCUGUGAUCCGUAGCUGGUCUGAGAGGAUGAUCAGCCACACUGGGACUGAGACACGGCCCAGACUCCUACGGGAGGCAGCAGUGGGGAAUAUUGGACAAUGGGCGCAAGCCUGAUCCAGCAAUGCCGCGUGAGUGAUGAAGGCCU
rnacentral:rRNA from 1 species